UAGAAGCAACUAAAAAACAAAUAUGUGUUUGAGCCCCAGAGAGAUUAUGUGGCUUCAUAAAGAUAGUAUGGCUGGUCAGCUGUCUCCACUCCUGAGGUCAUCACUCAUCAAGAGGGGAUAAUCCCAAGGACAGCAGGAUCUGCUUCGUCACUUGGAUUUAGGAGUGAGAAGAACCAUCAGGCAACUAAACAGUAACAAUGACCCGCCAUUAAACCACUGAGAGAAGAGCAUGAUGAGGAGAUUGUACAAGAAGAAUCCCAGGGCUCUUGCUGACAACGCCUAUGGAGUCACUGACCACUGUGAGCUCUGCCCAUUGAACUGCAGUGAAAAAUCUCCCCCUCCCCAGAGAUGCUUGGAUGUGGGCACAAUAUCAGUUCAGACAAUGGUCUUUGCUUGGAUUUAGAGUGGAAAGAAUUUGUGCUGUGGGGUAAAAAGACCUGGGUCUGAACUGUCACUCUGCCACUUCUGUGUAGUAUGCUUUGGCAACAUUAAAAAAAAUCUCUCUGA